rnacentral:rRNA from 1 species
GACGAACGCUGGCGGCGUGCUUAACACAUGCAAGUCGAACGAAGAACCCGGAGCUUGCUCUGGGGGAUUAGUGGCGAACGGGUGAGUAACACGUGAGUAACCUGCCCUGGACUCUGGGAUAAGCGUUGGGAACGACGGCUCAUACCGGAUAGGACCUUGUAACGCAUGAUCUGGGGUGGAAAGUUUUUUCGUUCCGGGAUGGACUCGCGGCGUAUCAGCUUGUUGGUGAGGUAAUGGCUUGCCAAGGUAACGACGGGUAGACGGCCUGAGCGGGUGACCGGCCACGCGGGUACUCAGCCACGCUGCGACUGCGAAACGGACCAGGCAGCUGCGGGUGGCAGGAGUGGGGAAUAUUGCAGACGGAGCGAAGGCCUGAUGCAGCUACGGGGCGUGCGGUAUGACGGCCCUCGGGUUGUAGAACGCUUUAUGUAGAGGAAAAGGGCUUCGGCUUGACGGUACCUGAAGAGAAAGCACCGGCUAACUACGUG